GACGAACGCUGGCGGCGUGCCUAAUACAUGCAAGUAGAACGCUGAAGAGAGGAGCUUGCUCUUCUUGGAUGAGUUGCGAACGGGUGAGUAACGCGUAGGUAACCUGCCUUGUAGCGGGGGAUAACUAUUGGAAACGAUAGCUAAUACCGCAUAACAAUGGAUGACACAUGUCAUUUAUUUGAAAGGGGCAAUUGCUCCACUACAAGAUGGACCUGCGUUGUAUUAGCUAGUAGGUGAGGUAACGGCUCACCUAGGCGACGAUACAUAGCCGACCUGAGAGGGUGAUCGGCCACACUGGGACUGAGACACGGCCCAGACUCCUACGGGAGGCAGCAGUAGGGAAUCUUCGGCAAUGGGGGCAACCCUGACCGAGCAACGCCGCGUGAGUGAAGAAGGUUUUCGGAUCGUAAAGCUCUGUUGUAAGUCAAGAACGAGUGUGAGAGUGGAAAGUUCACACUGUGACGGUAGCUUACCAGAAAGGGACGGCUAACUACGUGCCAGCAGCCGCGGUAAUACGUAGGUCCCGAGCGUCGUCCGGAUUUAUUGGGCGUAAAGCGAGCGCAGGCGGUUUGAUAAGUCUGAAGUUAAAGGCUGUGGCUCAACCAUAGUUCGCUUUGGAAACUGUCAAACUUGAGUGCAGAAGGGGAGAGUGGAAUUCCAUGUGUAGCGGUGAAAUGCGUAGAUAUAUGGAGGAACACCGGUGGCGAAAGCGGCUCUCUGGUCUGUAACUGACGCUGAGGCUCGAAAGCGUGGGGAGCGAACAGGAUUAGAUACCCUGGUAGUCCACGCCGUAAACGAUGAGUGCUAGGUGUUGGAUCCUUUCCGGGAUUCAGUGCCGCAGCUAACGCAUUAAGCACUCCGCCUGGGGAGUACGACCGCAAGGUUGAAACUCAAAGGAAUUGACGGGGGCCCGCACAAGCGGUGGAGCAUGUGGUUUAAUUCGAAGCAACGCGAAGAACCUUACCAGGUCUUGACAUCCCGAUGCUAUUUCUAGAGAUAGAAAGUUACUUCGGUACAUCGGUGACAGGUGGUGCAUGGUUGUCGUCAGCUCGUGUCGUGAGAUGUUGGGUUAAGUCCCGCAACGAGCGCAACCCCUAUUGUUAGUUGCCAUCAUUCAGUUGGGCACUCUAGCGAGACUGCCGGUAAUAAACCGGAGGAAGGUGGGGAUGACGUCAAAUCAUCAUGCCCCUUAUGACCUGGGCUACACACGUGCUACAAUGGUUGGUACAACGAGUUGCGAGUCGGUGACGGCAAGCUAAUCUCUUAAAGCCAAUCUCAGUUCGGAUUGUAGGCUGCAACUCGCCUACAUGAAGUCGGAAUCGCUAGUAAUCGCGGAUCAGCACGCCGCGGUGAAUACGUUCCCGGGCCU
rnacentral:rRNA from 1 species